CGCGCGGUAGAGCAGCGGCCAGCUCGCCGGGCCCAUAACCAGGAGGUCGGUGGUUCGAAUCCACCCCGCGUUA
rnacentral:tRNA from 1 species